ACUGUUUCAGUCUUUCAGAGUCAUGCAAAGGAGAACUCACGUCUGGCCUUUAACAGAUCACAGGCGAGACGAAGAGAGAGCAAGACAGUGAGGUGGAUUCAAGAGUCUUGAAGAUUUAGGUUUCUUGAGCAAGAAGGAACAUUUUCGAACAUGGAAGCAGGUAAAGUCUUGGACACAAAUCCGACGGAGAACACAACCGUGGCAGAGCUUGGAUCCGAUUCCAUGGCGGUGAUUGGUAGCCAAAGGAAAGCUUCUUUAGCUUGGAUUCCACGGACGUCUUUAACAGAUCCGUAACUGAGUUUUCCGGCGAUAUUCUUGCCGUAGAAAACGAGUUGAUCGGAGAACUUGACGUAGCAACUGGAAAUCAGGUCAACGGUGAAAUCGCCGUCGUCGGAGAUAGUGUACGAUUUGACGUUGUUGGGAAGAAGACCUUUCGGGAAUCCGUAGCGUGGGAGAAGAUCGUGGAUGUCAUCGGCGGCGAGAGAUGGACGGUCGAGAUUUAGAGAAGAGAAGAGAUCGAGGUCGUUGGAUUGAGAGAAGAUCGGACGGCGGAGAUUUAGGGAGGAGGAGAGAGAUAAGAGAGAGAGGAAGAGACAGGAGAAGAGUGCAAGCAAAGAAGAAGCCAUUG
rnacentral:lncRNA from 1 species